GCACUACCUGAGAGACAUUAAAUAGUGGGUCUCGGGUUAAGCUGCGGUGCCACAGCAAUUGCUGGCGCAUAACUGGGGCCGCCUGCCCUUCAUGGGGUGGCGGCCCUUUUAACUGUUAGCCACAGGG